rnacentral:rRNA from 1 species
GACGAACGCUGGCGGCGUGCUUAACACAUGCAAGUCGAACGAAGUGGCGAACGGGUGAGUAAAGCGUAAUCAACCUGCCCUUCAGAGGGGGACAACAGUUGGAAACGACUGCUAAUACCGCAUACCGACGGGGGGGAUUGCGUCUGAUUAGCUAGUUGGAGGGGUAACGCCCCACCAAGGCGAUGAGCGGGAGCCGGUCUGGGAGGAUGAACGGCCACAUUGGGAGUGAGAGACGCGCCAGACUCCUACGGGAGGCAGCAGUGGGGAAGCUUCCGCAAUGGACGAAAGUCUGACGGAGCAACGCCGCGUGAGUGAUGACGGCCUUCGGGUUGGAAAGCUCUGUUAAUCGGGACGCGGUACCGGAAUAGAAAGCCACGGCUAACUACGUGCCAGCCGCCGCGGUAAUUC